UGUGGAAGACAUCCUAGAAUGCUGCUGUUAUAGAAGGGCCCACUCUACCCUGGCUGCCUGGCGCUGGGUAUUUAAGUGUGAAGUCAAGGCCACAGCAGGAAACAGGAUGCAACUCCCAUAGUCCAAAGGAAGAGGCCUUCAUUAAAGGACCGUCAGAGGAUUUUCAAAAGGGCAUUUGGAGUCCAGCGUCUCCAUGUGGACUUCACCCAGUAACAAAAUAUCUUAUCAAUUUGAAGAUGAACGUUUUUCACGUUUUAACACCUCUGAAGUUGACAGAAUCUUACGGUUGCUGUUCUCCAGGUGGCAGCCAGGACGUAGCUGCUGUUGCCUGCCCUUGCACAAACCUAGAUGUUAGUCCUCAUUCAGGUUGUCUUUAAAUGAUUCGUUGACUGUGUGUGUAGAAGAGUUACAGUUGUCCAAUAUGCCUUUGGUGGACCUUUUGUGGACAUCCUUCAGUAAGAACAAUAAAGUGCCAGCAUCAAAACUUAUAGAAUGAGCAUCAGCACCUUGGAAGCAAAUCCCAGAGACAAUAUUGCAGCAGUCUUAAGAAUAUUACCAAAGCUCCUGAUAGCCCAGCUGACAAAGCGUGAAAAAAACUCUGAUCUCAACUCUCCGUUGAAAGUGAUUCAGAGGACCUGGGAAUGUUUCUAUGGGAAACAUUUUAAUGAUACCUCAACCAAUUUUUAAAAAUUUAAGUCAGAUUUAUUGAGGUAUAAUUUACAUACAGUAAAACUAACCCUUUUUAGAUAUACAGUUCUGUGAAUUGGUAAAAAUAUAUAUAAUGUUGUGUAUCCACCACCAAAAUCAAGAGAGUACAUUUUGAGUUUC
rnacentral:lncRNA from 1 species